CUUCACAAGUGUGAGCUGAACAUUUUAAGGAAUAGUUUUAGCUGAAAUACAUGAUUCUUUUGUCUGAAAUGGUAUUUUGUAACAUUAGCAAUAUAUGCAGAAUUUCACUUUCUGUAGGAAAAAGGGGUCCAGAGAUAUUGUAACAAGUAACAACAGUGGGAUUAUUAAUUUGUCCUUUUUCCUAACUGAGGUCCAUUUCCUUCAUUUUCAUCUGUAAAUACUGAACAAAAAUAUUAAUUGAGGUAGUCAGCUAGACCUUUAUCCUCUU